rnacentral:rRNA from 1 species
UACAGAGGUGGCAAGCGUUGUUCGGAAUUACUGGGCGUAAAGGGUGCGUAGGUGGCGGGGUAAGUCAGGUGUGAAAUCUCGAGGCUCAACCUCGAAACUGCACUUGAUACUGCCUUGCUUGAGUACUGGAGAGGAGAUUGGAAUUUACGGUGUAGCAGUGAAAUGCGUAGAUAUCGUAAGGAAGACCAGUGGCGAAGGCGAAUCUCUGGACAGUUACUGACACUGAGGCACGAAGGCCAGGGGAGCAAACGGG